AAACGUUGAGGAAAGGCAUGGCAUAUUCGAAAGUAGUGACAGUAAGCGUCUGUUCAGAUGCAAAAGUGGACAAACCAUUCCAGUGUCCAGAAAAUGCGACGCUAGAUUUGACUGCUUUGAUUAUUCAGAUGAAACUGAUUGUUGGCAAAACUUUAAACCUCAUCAACUUGUCUCCGGCAUGACAUUGUCCUCUGAACUUCCACCAGGUUUCGACACUGGUUCCCAUUUCCAAUGCGAUAAAACAUUGGAGUGGAUUUCCGUAACCGCAUAUUGCGACGGUGUAAUAGAUUGUUUGGAUUCAUCUGACGAAAUAGCCUGUAACAAUUCUUUAGAUGAUAAUAAGUCUUGUUUGUCUGAUCAGUAUAAAUGCGGAGAAGGUGAUUGUAUACAUAUCAGCCAGCUCUGUAAUUUUGUACCUGACUGUAUCGACCAGACAGAUGAAAAUUGUG